UUUGUCCAUUUUUUUAUUCACUUUCGGUUCACUUUCAUAAAAACCAUUGUGGUGGAAUUGACUAAGCUGUUACCAUGACAACUCAUAUAAAAGUUAAUGCCAAGAGUACCCAAUUUCCACCAUAAUGGUUUUUAUGAAAGUGAACCGAAUGUACAUUAAUUAUUCAAAAUACCAUGUAAAGGAGACCAAAUUAUGAGCCAUCAUACGGUUAAAGUCGUGAAAUUUUUAUUUCAAUUAAUAUGACGUACAAAUUAGAGCAGAAAAGUGCCAAAUUAGAUCAUCAUUUAGUGUAACGCCGUGUCAGUAUAUUUGUUUAAAUUUUUAUUAUAAACAUUCUCACUCGGCUUGAAGGAUGACCCUGACACGUGCAUGAGAACUUCGAACAGGAGAUACAUCAGAUUUGCACCAUGUGAUCAUGUCACAUGACCGUGGUAAUAAAUAGGCGAAGCCGCGAAUCUUCUUAUUCCUGAAUUCAAUAGACAAGUUAACUUAUUUGCGAUCAGGCACGUUGUCAGACGAGAUAGCUCCUUGCUACCGCUUAGUGUCCAGUUUGCCAGACCCAGGGUCGAUUUGCAGUAACAAUGAUGUCCUGUAAUAUUCUCAGAUAAUAAAUAACAGAUGGCGCAAAAGAUUGAACACUUAGAGAGACUCAAGAAGACGCAGCAAGCCUGGCGGGCUACUAUCUCUGAUGUUUGUUAAUAAAGAGUUUAAGGUUUAAGUUAAGUUAACCGUGAGUUUCAUAACAUCGGCCCAACAAGAACAAACAGAAAUUGGCGACGAGUAUAAAACCAUUAACAGCAACAAUGGAGAACAUUCCAUUGUCAAUUCCACCGUUCCGAAUGUAUGAUGACGUACCAAACUUGGAGUCCGUUGGGAAAACUGGAUGAACCGAUUUGAGAACUAUCUCAUCGCAGCCGACAUCCAACACCCAGCUUGGAAAACAGCAUUAUUACUUUAUUACGCAGAAGCGAGAAAUCUGUCGUUGAAAUGUACUCUCUUCUGCAGCCGCUCAGUCAAGAAGCUUCCCAGUCUAUCGGCACCUUUUAUAAAACAAAUCCCUUAAUAUGGGCAGUUUUUUUUCAUAAUGUUUUUAAUUUUUACAUUGCAGUUGAUUUGCUAUUGCGACUACUCAAUUCAAUUGUUUACGUUUUUAUAACCAUUUUCUUGUAACUUUUCCAUCUGAACACCACCAAAAUGUUUUAUAUUGAUUUUGUUAAAAUUGUAAUAUGAUUAUGUAAAUUAAUGGUCGGUUUGCAAUUAUUAUCAUUUAACAAAUUGAACUUGAUACGUCAAGAUUACAAACGUGUUGUUUA